rnacentral:rRNA from 1 species
AGACAGCAGCAGCCGCGGGAAUACGUAGGGUGCAAGCGUUAAUCGGAAUUACUGGGCGUAAAGCGUGCGCAGGCGGUUAUAUAAGACAGAUGUGAAAUCCCCGGGCUCAACCUGGGAACUGCAUUUGUGACUGUAUAGCUAGAGUACGGCAGAGGGGGAUGGAAUUCCGCGUGUAGCAGUGAAAUGCGUAGAUAUGCGGAGGAACACCGAUGGCGAAGGCAAUCCCCUGGGCCUGUACUGACGCUCAUGCACGAAAGCGUGGGGAGCAAACAGGAUUAGAUACCCCUGUAGUCCCUGUCUCUUAUAC